rnacentral:rRNA from 1 species
AUUGAACGCUGGCGGCAUGCCUUACACAUGCAAGUCGAACGGCAGCACGGGUGCUUGCACCUGGUGGCGAGUGGCGAACGGGUGAGUAAUACAUCGGAACAUGUCCUGUAGUGGGGGAUAGCCCGGCGAAAGCCGGAUUAAUACCGCAUACGAUCUACGGAUGAAAGCGGGGGACCUUCGGGCCUCGCGCUAUAGGGUUGGCCGAUGGCUGAUUAGCUAGUUGGUGGGGUAAAGGCCUACCAAGGCGACGAUCAGUAGCUGGUCUGAGAGGACGACCAGCCACACUGGGACUGAGACACGGCCCAGACUCCUACGGGAGGCAGCAGUGGGGAAUUUUGGACAAUGGGCGAAAGCCUGAUCCAGCAAUGCCGCGUGUGUGAAGAAGGCCUUCGGGUUGUAAAGCACUUUUGUCCGGAAAGAAAUCCUUGGCCUAAUGCGGUCGGGGGAUGACGGUACCGGAAGAAUAAGCACCGGCUAACUACGUG